AUGGGGACGUUUCAAUAUGGCGAAGAACGAUCUGUUUGCAACGGCAGAGACAGCUCAUUGCAAUCAAUGGUAUUCCCUGAACAAUCAGGGAGAUCCCCUGGGGAUAGAUGCAGUCAAGAAUGGCCGGAAGAGUUGUUGUAUGCUUUUCCUCCUCUGCCUUUGAUUCCCUUGGUGCUCAGGAGUGUAGCAUUGGGUCGUCACAAAGUUUUGCUUGUGGCCCCAAGAUGGCCGAAGAAACACUGGUUUCCGACACAUGUAAGUUUGGUCAGAGAUUCUACAAUUGUGGGUAUGGCCUCUGCUCAGUCCCUCCCUACAGACUUAGAUGAACCUGUACUGAGAACAAUAAAUAGUUCUAAGGCACUCUCUACUUGGAGUAACUAUUCUAGCAAGUGGCGAAUAUUCUCAGCAUGGUGUCAAGACCAUCAGCUAGAUGCUACUAAUUGCCGCACUAGUUUUGUUCUCCGGUUUCUUCAGUCAUUGUUGGAUACGGGGAAAUUGGUUAAUACUAUAAAGGUUUAUAUUGCACCCAUCUCACAAUUCCAUUCGUUAGUGGAUGGUGUAAGUGUUGGUAAACACUCUUUGGGGUCUCAGUUCCUGAAGGGUGCAUACCGUUUGUGCCCAGAGAUGGUUAUGAGGUCACCCUCUUGGGAUCUUACUAUUGUUUUGUGUUCACUGGUCAAAGCACCUUUUGAACCCUUGCAUCAAGCCAGCCUAAAGUCCCUGACAUGGAAGACAGUCUUCCUCCUGGCAAUAUGUUUAGCCAAGAGGGUUGGUGAAUUGCACUCUUUAUCAGUCAGUGAGGACUAAUUGAGAUGGAAGGCAGAAAGUGCAUGGGUUUAUCCUUGGCCAAAUCCGUCAUUCCUACCCAAGGUCCUUAGGCCUGAUACGAUAAAUCAGGUGAUUGAGCUUGAUGCAUUUCUCCCAGACCCUUCUUGUUUAGGUACUGGGUUGGAUAGCUCUAUCUAUGUCCUGUCAGAGCACUGCAUGCAUGCAUUGAGCAUACUCGUCCAUUGCGACAGUCACAUAUUUUAAUUUUUUGACGAAGUGCACAGGCAAGCCUUUGUCUAAGCAAUGAUUGUCUCACUGGAUAGUGGAUACAAUUUCACAAGCAUAUUCCAGCCAAAAUCUACCUGUUCCUGGUGAUGUAGUCGCCCACUCUACCAGAAGUAUGGCCACUUCUUGGGCGGCACUUAAGGGGGUAGCACUUUCAGACAUAUGUGCCGUGGCCUCUUGGAUCACCCAUGCACAUCCACAAGGUUUUAUAGGAUUAAUGUUACAAAAAUCCUUUGGGGUCUGCUGUUUUAUCUGCUGUUAAGUUACCAGAUAAGGGAAAUGAUACUGGUCCCUCGUGUCUUGUGUUGGUAUUACAAAGUGCCCAUCUUGAUGAGUAUUCAUGUAAACAGUCGAUUUAUACUAAACGUUGGUAUACAGGCUAUUAAGUUAAUGUAAACAGUUUGAGAUACAAAACGCAUGUGUAACAGUUUGAUCCAUGCAUGAGGUCUUAGAGACAGAAACCUAAAUAAACCUGCUGCUGUCUGUCA
ensembl:lncRNA